GAGUUUGAUCCUGGCUCAGAACGAACGCUGGCGGCGUGCCUGAGACAUGCAAGUCGUGGGAGAAUGUCGUAGCAAUACGAUUAGUAAACCGGCGUACGGGUGAGUAACACGUGGAUAACGUGCCUUGAAGCCCGGGAUAACCCGUCGAAAGACGGACUAAUACCGGAUAAGACCACGGGAAGUUCGCUUCUUGGGGUAAAAGGUGGCCUCUGCUCCUGCAAGCUAUCACUUCUAGAGCGGUCCGCGGCCUAUCAGCUAGUUGGCGAGGUAAUGGCUCACCAAGGCGAAGACGGGUAGCUGGUCUAAGAGGAUGGUCAGCCACACUGGGACUGAGACACGGCCCAGAGUCCUACGGGAUGCAGCAGUCAGGAAUAUUGCGCAAUGGAGGAAACUCUGACGCAGCGACGCCGCGUGGGUGAUGAAGGCCUUCGGGUCGUAAAGCCCUGUCGGAAGGGAAGAAAAGCUUGUUGGCUAAUAUCCAGCGAGCCUUUGACGGUACCUUCAAAGGAAGCACCGGCUAACUCCGUGCCAGCAGCCGCGGUAAGACGGAGGGUGCAAGCGUUGUUCGGAUUGACUGGGCGUAAAGGGCGUGUAGGCGGUUCGUUAAGUCGGGUGUGAAAGCCCGGGGCUCAGCUCCGGAAGUGCGCCCGACACUGGCGAGCUGGAGCGCGGUAGAGGAGGGUGGAAUUCCUGGUGUAGCGGUGAUAUGCGUAGAUAUCAGGAGGAACACCGGC
rnacentral:rRNA from 1 species